CUGUAGUUCAGUCGGUAGAACGGCGGACUGUUAAUCCGUAUGUCACUGGUUCGAGCCCAGUC
rnacentral:tRNA from 1 species